rnacentral:rRNA from 1 species
UACGUAGGUGGCGAGCGUUGUCCGGAUUUACUGGGCGUAAAGGGCGUGUAGGCGGUUGGAUAAGUCCGGUGUGAAAUCCCCUGGCUCAACCAGGGAAUGGCGCUGGAAACUGUCUGACUGGAGUUCGGUAGGGGUCACUGGAAUUCCCGGUGUAACGGUGAAAUGUGUAGAUAUCGGGGGGAACACCUGUGGCGAAGGCGGGUGACUGGGCCGCAACUGACGCUGAGACGCGAAAGCGUGGGGAGCAAAC